rnacentral:rRNA from 1 species
AGCAGCCGCGGUAAUUCCAGCUCCAAUAGCGUAUAUUAAAGUUGUUGCAGUUAAAAAGCUCGUAGUUGAAUUUCGGGGUCAGUAGGUCGGUCGUGCCACUGGUAUGAACUGGUUUUACUGAUUCCUCCCUCUUGAAGAACUGUAAUGCCAUUAAUUUGGUGUUGCAGGGAAUCAGGACUGUUACUUUGAAAAAUUGAGUGUUUAAAGCAGGCUUUAGCUUGAAUACAUUAGCAUGGAAUAAUGAAAUAGGACGUUUGAUCCUAUUUUGUUGGUUUCUAGGAUUGACGUAAUGAUUAAUAGGGAUAGUUGGGGGCAUUAGUAUUCAAUUGUCAGAGGUGAAAUUCUUGGAUUUAUUGAAGACUAACUACUGCGAAAGCAUUUGCCAAGGAUGUUUUCAUUAAUCAAGAACGAAAGUUAGGGGAUCGAAGACGAUCAGAUACCGUCGUAGUCUUAACCAUAAACUAUGCCGACUAGGGA